GUGGGGAAUAUUGGACAAUGGGGGGAACCCUGAUCCAGCCAUGCCGCGUGUGUGAAGAAGGCCUUUUGGUUGUAAAGCACUUUAAGCGAGGAAGAGGCUACCGAGAUUAAUACUCUUGGAUAGUGGACGUUACUCGCAGAAUAAGCACCGGCUAACUCUGUGCCAGCAGCCGCGGUAAUACAGAGGGUGCAAGCGUUAAUCGAAUUUACUGGGCGUAAAGCGCGCGUAGGUGGCCAAUUAAGUCAAAUGUGAAAUCCCCGAGCUUAACUUGGGAAUUGCAUUCGAUACUGGUUGGCUAGAGUAUGGGAGAGGAUGGUAGAAUUCCAGGUGUAGCGGUGAAAUGCGUAGAGAUCUGGAGGAAUACCGAUGGCGAAGGCAGCCAUCUGGCCUAAUACUGACACUGAGGUGCGAAAGCAUGGGGAGCAAACAGGAUUAGAAACCCCUGUAGUCC
rnacentral:rRNA from 1 species